rnacentral:rRNA from 1 species
GGCGAACGCUGGCGGCGGGCUUAACACAUGCAAGUCGAACGGAAAGGCCCUGCUUGUGUGGGGUGCCCGGGUGGCGAACGGGUGAGUAACACGUGAGUAACCUGCUCUACACUUUCGGAGAACUUCAGGUAACUGGGGCUAAUAUCGUACAGCAGCCCCCGUUGCAUUGUGAGCGUUGGAACGUCUCGGCGGGUGGGGAUGGACUCGCGGCUUAUGAGCUAGUUGGUGGGGUAGUGGCUGACCAAGGCUGUGACGGGUCGCCGGCCUGUGAGGGUGACCGGCCACCUUGGGACUGAGAUAGGGACCAGACUGCAACGGUGGGCAGCGGUGGGGAGUAUUGUACAACGGGCGGGAGUCUGUGAAAGAAGCGCCGCGUGCGGGAUGACGGCUUUCGGGUUGUGAACCGCAUUCGCCUGUGACGAAGCGUGAGUGACGGUACUGGGUAAAGAAGCACCGGCUAACUACGUG